GAUGAACGCUGGCGGCGUGCUUAACACAUGCAAGUCGAACGGUGAAAGCGGAGCUUGCUCUGCUGGAUCAGUGGCGAACGGGUGAAUAACACGUGAGCAAUCUGCCCCUGACUCUGGGAUAAGCGCUGGAAACGGCGUCUAAUACCGGAUACGAGCUGCGAAGGCAUCUUCAGCAGCUGGAAAGAACUUCGGUCAGGGAUGAGCUCGCGGCCUAUCAGCUAGUUGGUGAGGUAACGGCUCACCAAGGCGUCGACGGGUAGCCGGCCUGAGAGGGUGACCGGCCACACUGGGACUGAGACACGGCCCAGACUCCUACGGGAGGCAGCAGUGGGGAAUAUUGCACAAUGGGCGAAAGCCUGAUGCAGCAACGCCGCGUGAGGGACGACAGCCUUCGGGUUGUAAACCUCUUUUAGUAGGGAAGAAGCGAAAGUGACGGUACCUGCAGAAAAAGCACCGGCUAACUACGUGCCAGCAGCCGCCGUAA
rnacentral:rRNA from 1 species